rnacentral:rRNA from 1 species
UACGGAAGGUCCGGGCGUUAUCCGGAUUUAUUGGGUUUAAAGGGAGCGCAGGCCGUCGGCUAAGCGUGACGUGAAAUGCUGUGGCUCAACCUUAGCAGUGCGUCGCGAACUGGCUGGCUUGAGUGCACUCGAGGGACGCGGAAUUCGUGGUGUAGCGGUGAAAUGCUUAGAUAUCACGAAGAACUCCGAUUGCGAAGGCAGCGUCCCAGGGUGUAACUGACGCUAAAGCUCGAAAGUGCGGGUAU